AUCGGUCUCGUAGUCUACCGAAGAGAAGAGGGGGAAGAAACAAUAAACACGAUGCAAACAUAAGCAUGACGAUGCAUGACAUGAAAUUGAGCGUUGCUAGGUGUGCCCUAACGCGGUAGUAGGUGAUACCGGCGAAAGGAGGAAACAUCCAAGAAACUUUCAUGUACAAAGUAUUUUCAUACGAGCUACGGAUUAUUUUAUAUUAAUUUAAAAAGAUUUAAUCCAUUUUUAAAAUUAACAGAAUUAAUUUAAUUAGAAAAAAAUGUAAUUAUGACGUCAACAUGAUGUCAACAUGAUGUCAUCAGUCAACCGUCUGUUGACUGGGUCAACAGACGCGUGGGUCACAAUUGUCAUUGACUAAGACUAACUAAUCACGAUUAAUUAGUUUAAUUAAGUGGUUAGGUUAAUAAAACAAAAUUAGUUAAGUUAAUUAAUUCUUUAAUUAAUAAAUAAAUAUUUUUAACUUAGUUUUUUAUUCUUUUAAUUUCCCUUUUUUUAAGUUCUGGGGCUUGGUGCCCCCUAGUCAGUGGCUAUGGGGGAGGCUAAUGGGCGCGCAGGUGACGGGUUACGGGCGCGGUUUGAGCGCCCGAAUGGGCGCUGCGGGGCAAGGCCACAAGGGCGCAACAGAGGCUGUGGGGCGUGCGCGACCGGAUGCGCCAAUGGUGGGACGGCUGAAGCGGGAGCAGGGCGCGGCCCGGGCGAGCCGUGAGGCGCCGGAGCGCGCAAGCAGGUGCGGGACAGGGGCGGCAGGGGCCAGCGCCAGCCGGAGGCUGGGCCAGGGCGGGCUGCAGAGGGGCUUGGGCCCGGCUGAAGCUCGGCGUGGGUGCGGGGCGAACACGGCGCGAGCGGCGAGGCCAGGAAGCGGCAUGGUGAGCGUGAGCGGGAGCACGAGGCACGACAACGUUUACAGGGGAUGCUGUCGGGCGCAACGGCGCGAUGGUGAGUGGGUGCGAGGGCGCAUCACUAACACGAACGGGAGCAGAGGAGGAGAAUGGAGGAGGCGAGGUGCUCACGUGCGACGUGAGAAGGGGAGGCGUCGAGGCUUGACGCGGUCCGGCGGGGAGGAGGACGAGGACGAGCGACGAAGGAGAGGCGGGGAAGCGGUGAGCGACGGCGUCGGGGGCUGCUCCGGGGCGACGUGGCAGCGGCAGGGUGGCACCGGCGAUGUGGUGGUGGUCGGCGACGGCGUCAGGGCGCUCGAGGCGGGGUCUUCGGCCGUGCAGGUCGAAGGAGGAGGCGGCGAUGUAAGUGGGGUCAGAGGUGAGGAGCUCACUCACCAGAGCAGCGGCAGGGCGACAGAGGUGGUCGGAGCUGGGCAAGGAGGGUGCGUGUGAGCGGUAUCUGGGUGCGGGGUCUCUCGCUCCUCUCUGCUCUCUUUCUGGCGGCGCGAGGAGGGACGAGGGGAUCGAUCGGGUCAAG
rnacentral:lncRNA from 1 species